CUAUUGCCGAUCGCCUUGAGUUGAUCUGGCUCAAAUCAACGCUGGCGGCGUGCCUAACACAUGCAAGUCGAACGCGAAAGCCCCGCAAGGGGUAAGUAGAGUGGCAAACGGGUGAGUAACACGUGGGUGACCUGCCUUCGAGCCGGGGAUAACGUCCCGAAAGGGACGCUAAUACCGCAUGACAUCCUGCCUUUGAAGAGGUGGAGAUCAAAGCUGGGGAUCGCAAGACCUAGCACUCGAAGAGGGGCCCGCGCCUGAUUAGCUAGUUGGUGGGGUAAUGGCUCACCAAGGCGACGAUCAGUAGCCGGCCUGAGAGGGCGGACGGCCACACUGGGACUGAGACACGGCCCAGACUCCUACGGGAGGCAGCAGUGGGGAAUUGUUCGCAAUGGGCGCAAGCCUGACGACGCAACGCCGCGUGGAGGACGAAGACCUUCGGGUCGUAAACUCCUUUCGAUCGAGGCGAACGGCCUCCGGGUGAACAAUCCGGAGGGGUGACGGUACCGAGAGAAGAAGCCCCGGCUAACUCCGUGCCAGCAGCCGCGGUAAUACGGGGGGGGCAAGCGUUGUUCGGAAUUACUGGGCGUAAAGGGCUCGUAGGUGGCCAACUAAGUCAGACGUGAAAUCCCUCGGCUUAACCGGGGAACUGCGUCUGAUACUGGAUGGCUUGAGAUUGGGAGAGGGAUGCGGAAUUCCAGGUGUAGCGGUGAAAUGCGUAGAUAUCUGGAGGAACACCGGUGGCGAAGGCGGCAUCCUGGACCAC
rnacentral:rRNA from 1 species